rnacentral:lncRNA from 1 species
GGAUUGGGAUGAACCCCUCCCCAGACUGGGAUGAGCUCUCCAAACUGGGAUCAGCCCCCCCAAGCUGGGAUGAGCCCCCCAGACUGGGAUGAGCUCUCCAAACUGGGAUCAGCCCCCCUGAACUGGGAUGAGCCCCCCAGACUGGGAUGAGCUCUCCAAACUGGGAUCAGCCCCCCCAGACUGGGAUGAGUUCCCUGGACUGGAAUGAGCUCUCCAAACUGGGAUCAGCCCCCCUGAACUGGGAUGAGUUCUCUGGACUGUGAUGGGUCCCCUGGGGUGGAGCCUUUUUUCCCCCCACCCAGAAUUUUCCUGCUUUUCUCCUCCUCCUCCUGCUGCUGCUGCUGCUGAGUGCUGCCACCACCCCUGUCACUGUCCCCUGGGUGCUGUGACACCCCCAGCCUGCCCACACCUCUCAUUGACAGCGCUGGUGGCAGCUUUUUGGGACCACUUUGGGAUGGUGUCACGGACCAAAACAUCAAAGCACGUCCCUGUCCCCUUCUCCUCUGGGCUCCUGGGGGGGAUCGGGGUCGGGUUAAACUGGAACUGGGCAGGGAGGGAGGAGCAGGGACCUCCAGAGGGUCCUGGGAGGGCUUGGGG